AUUGAACGCUGGCGGCAUGCCUUACACAUGCAAGUCGAACGGCAGCGGGGACUUCGGUCCGCCGGCGAGUGGCGAACGGGCGAGUAAAGCAUCGGAACGUACCCGGAAGUGGGGGAUAACGUAGCGAAAGUUACGCUAAUACCGAAUAUUCUGUGAGCAGGAAAGAGGGGGAUCUUCGGACCUCUUGCUUUCGGAGAGGCCGAUGUCAGAUUAGCUAGUUGGUGAGGUAAGGGCUCACCAAGGCGACGAUCUGUAGCGGGUCUGAGAGGAUGAUCCGGCACACUGGAACUGAGACACGGUCCAGACUCCUACGGGAGGCAGCAGUGGGGAAUUUUGGACAAUGGGCGCAAGCCUGAUCCAGCCAUGCCGCGUGAGUGAAGAAGGCCUUCGGGUUGGAAAGCUCUUUCGGCCGGGAAGAAAUCGCAUGGGUUAAUACCCUGUGCGGAUGACGGUACCGGCAUAAGAAGCACCGGCUAACUACGUGCCAGCCGCCGCCGUAA
rnacentral:rRNA from 1 species